CGACUCGUCCGUCGUCAACACUUUAACCGUCGCCAACGACAACGGCGCGGCCGAGCCCUGGACGCUCUACGGAAUCUUCCAGAUCAGUCAUCACUUCUGCAGCGGCGAGGACGCGCUGUGUGGAUCCGACUGUGCAGGGCUCACGGACGAUGACAUCACCGACGACAUCCAGUGUGUGGACAAAAUCAAGAACACCUUUCUUAAAAACCCUACUGCAGCCAGUCACGUCUACAAGGAAAUAAUUCCUAAACUCUUCACUCCGAACUGUCAGAGCUCCAUCAUCUCCGACUGCAGAAACUGAGGCCGGAUCUGCAGAGAAAUAAAUCUCCCGUCUUUAAUAUAAAGUGAAAGAUGAUUAAUAUAUGACGAUAGUCGAGUUCAAAGUGUUUAGAGAAAAAACUCCAGUUUCUAUGAUUCCAGCUCAAUGUACGAAAAUAAACAUGUAGAC